GUUUCUGACUUCUGGGGGGGGGUCAGCACGUUGUCACAUCACACGUGUGUCCCCCCCCAAAUCGAUGUCUGAGCCGCGUUCCGGGAUGUAGCACGGGUCACGGCGAAACUUCCCCGGAGAUGGAAAAGGAGGUGAAAACCUUCCCUGUGAUCCCUAAUCUGGUGCAUCCCCCCCCACCCCCUGACCGGAUGGUGUUUUAACCCAAAAUACUUUGGAAUUAAUAUCUGGAAAAUCCUCCUGAGAGGCAGAAAUUGGAGGAGGAGCUGGAAUUUAUCCCCAGCCCAUGGUCUGGAGGAGGAGACCUUAGACCUUCACGGAGUCCAAGCCUUCAGGGGAUUAAGCCAGAGGAACCAGAGGCUCAGCCUCCCUUAAUUAGGAGAAGAGAGAAGGGAAAAAAUGUUUGCAGAACAUCCCCUGGAUCUCAAGUGUGAAAGUGCUGCUUCGGAGAUGAAUUGGGUUUAAUUAGGAUGUUUUUCCUUGUUUUUGGAGAUAAUUACAGCCUUAUUGUCUGGGAAAAGGUGUGGGGGGGGCUGCUUGGUGGGGGAAUGGACCCCUCUGGAAGGGACCAGACCAAGGGGCUCCCAAUUUUCCUGGAAGGGUGGUGAGAGGGUCCCACCAGGGGACUGUGGUGGGGCAGGAAGAUCUGAGAGUGACUCCUGGGAGGCUCUUCCCCCUUCCCAACACCUUAAAAUUUAAUGUAUGGAGCAGGGGGAGGGUGGAAAGGUCAGGAGGGGGACGUGUUCCUCUCCAGAGAAGCUCCCAACAGGGAUGUGACUCUGAGGAGGUCCAUGUCCUGAUGAAAACACCUUCAUUCCUACAGAGGCAGAAGGGAAAUUGGAGGAGGAGCUGGAGGUCUGCAGGAGGAGACCCUAGACCUUCACGGAGUCCAAGCCUUCAGGGGAUUAAGCCAGAGGAACCAGAGGCUCAGCCUCCCUUAAUUAGGAGAAGAGAGAAGGGAAAAAUGUUUGCAGAACAUCCCCUGGAUCUCACUCUCCACCUGCGCUGCUUCGUGCGGUUCCUCUACCUCAAAUAAAAGGAAAAUAGAAACAAAAAUAAUCCCCCUGAAGGGGUUGAGAGCCCACAUUUCUCUGCUGGAUUCACCCUGGGUUAGAGCUCUGCUCCUCCCCUCCUGCCCCAGAGCUGGGGGA